rnacentral:tRNA from 1 species
UCCCCGGUAGCUCAAACUGUAAAGAAUCUGCCUGCAAUGCAGAGGACUCAGGUUCAAUCCCUGGAUUGGGAA